UAUCUGGUUGAUCCUGCCAGUAGUCAUAUGCUUGUCUCAAAGAUUAAGCCAUGCAUGUCUAAGAAUAAGCCCCAGAAUGGUGAAUCUGCGAAUGGCUCAUUAAAUCAGUUAUUGUUUAUUUGAUGGUACCUUACUACAUGGAUAUCCGUAGUAAUUCUAGAGUUAAUACAUGCGACCAUCCGCGACUUCGGAAGCGGUGCAUUUAUUAGUUUCAAACCAUCUGCUUCGGCAUUUGAUGGUGAGUCAUAAUAACUGAGCGAAUCGAAUGGCCUUGCGCCGUCGAUGCUUCAUUCAAAUUUCUGCCCUAUCAGCUUUCGAUGGUAGGAUCUUGGCCUACCAUGGCUAUAACGGGUAACGGGGAAUUAGGGUUCGGUUCCGGAGAGGGAGCUUGAGAAACGGCUACCACAUCCAAGGAUGGCAGCAGGCGCGCAAAUUACCCAAUCCCGACACGGGGAGGUAAGUGACAAUAAAUAGCAAUGCUAGACUAAUCUUAGUCCGGCAAUUGGAAUGAGAGCAAUUUAAACCCAUCAUCGAGGAGCCAUUGGAGGGCAAGUCUGGGUGCCAGCAGCCCGCGGUAAUUCCAGCUCCAUAGCCGUAUAUUAAAGUUGUGCAGUUAAAAACUCGAAGCUGACCGUGUCCUGGCAUUGAGCGUCCGUGGCUACUGGUCAUGUGUACCCANGGGCUGACACUACCUUCGGAGACCGUCGUGCUUUNACUA
rnacentral:rRNA from 1 species